AUGCGGAGCGCGGUGGGACUCGUGAUGAAAUGCAGAAUUGGCAGCGCUCGCUCCAUUGUGCUCCGCGGGCCGAGCUCCGAAACGAGCUCCGAAGCAGCCUGCCCUCCCCUUCUCCCGCGGCCCUGCGGCUCCCGUCGCCUCGGGCUGUUUGUGCUGCGGAGGCUGUGUUUUUUUGGCAUCCGGGCUUUCGUGCGCAGAGCAUCGGCGCUAGCAAUAGUAUUAAUGAUUAUUUAUUGGUUCUUAAUGCCAAGUAAUGUAAACAUCUGGCUAAUGCAGCGCAAAUGUGCUGGUGCGGUGGGACGCGGGCUUAUCUCCCGGCGUUCAGCGCCGGGCUCGCAGCACUUCAUGAAUUACUCAAAGGAGGUGGCGUUGCCUUACAAAUGGUGCCUUGUUUUGAUAAACUUUCCUCAAGGUAGAGAUUCCGAAACUGCUUCGCUGCUGACCUUCCUGUUAAUUAUUGCCGUGCGGCACCAGGGCUGUCAGGUGAAAGGGAGGCGUGGGGCGCUGCUAGCCGCUGCUCUCAGCCCAGGAAAAUGCCUUCUCCCUCGCGCGCCUGUCCCUGCGCAUUUAUCGAGCUCCGCUGCGCUCCUUCCCCCCGCCUGGCGAAGAAGAGCCUCAGUUCCUACGACCUAUUUUGAGGCUGUGGCUCUGACCUUGAUUUACACCGGCAAUAGGUAUCGAUGCUGGGUUUUUUUGUUUUGGUUUUUUUUUCAGGCUAACUGUAAUAAGGGUAAAUGUAGCCUGAUGAUAAAGGUGCCGGGAAGAAGAGGGAGCAAAAUGGCUCGCCUCGUGUUGCUGGCUGAUGGGCGCAGGUUCUGCUGCUCCGCAGUUUCCCCUGCUUUUAGCCCUCGACAAAGCUUGGUGAGAAGGAGAAAGGAAAACGUGAACGGAGAGAAAUUUACGACUCCCGUGCUUUCUCUAGUGCUUCUGAAGGUGAGAGUCGAGUCACUUUGCCAUGUACAAGCUCAGCAAGUCCAGACCAUCCCCAGAGAGUUUCUGAAGCCGUGCGGGGAGAAAUAA
rnacentral:lncRNA from 1 species